UGCUUUUCUUUGAACCUCUGUGUCUGGAACGUGGGCCCUGGGGCUGACGUCCUGAAUGCGCACGGGGAAGCGUGCCCACUGAACCCUGGUCCCGCAGGGUGAGAGCCAAGGGGGGCUCCGAGCGGGGCGGGGCGGCUCAGGGAAGGCCUCCAGAGGCAGGCGGGGGGACUCUGGAGAGCUGACGACCUUGGAGGAAAGGGGGUGCAGGCAGGGGAAGCUGGGGUGCUCAGGCGUGGAGGCAGAACAUUCACCGGCUCCCUUCUUUGGAGGGUACCUGGUGCUCGUGCAGUAGCCAACAGGGCAGAUCGGCUCCCGCCCCUGCCGUCGGGGAGGGGGAGGCGGAGGAGGGCAGCGAGCAAAGGCAGGCUUUGAUAAUCUCUGCUCCUGGAUGUGCGCGGGUGGAGCCCGCGGGCAGAACAAGUGCAGCGGGCGUGAAGGGCACCGCCAGGCCAGCCAGCCCCCUGGGUCCCCCUGUCGCCUGAGGCCUGAGACCACGUGGCCGUCCCCAAGGAUGUCCGACUGUUGCCUUAGUUCCUGAUGCCAGCCCUGUGCCUAGAUCAUGUGUCACCUGUUUGCGGUGACAUUUUCUUCAGCUCCCCGGGGUGACCACCGGGCCACACCUGAGCUGGCUCU
rnacentral:lncRNA from 1 species